GCUGCCGCUCUUUGUGCGGCCGGAGAGGAGGCGGCAGCGGCGGCGGGGGGAGGACUAAGACGAAGAAGCAGCACAGCCCGGCUGGCAGAGGAGCCGCAGCCCCCUUGUCCUCACACCCCGCGGGUCAGGGUGGCGGCCUGGACACGGGCUCCUCCAUGUUGCUCUCCUAACGCAUUACAAGCUCAGCACACAGAAGUUGUUUCUCUGUCAGCAGCCGUGGCGCCUUUGAUUGAUGGUUUUGACAGUAGAGAUGAAUUGAGGACACGGCACCCACAGUCCUGACCUGGAGUUUGAACUAGUUUUCCUCUCUCCUCUAGGAGGGAGAGGGGGUGGAAGAUCUCAGGAUCUUCUGAUUGCCAUUGAUCCGAGCUGAUUUGCUGAGCAUUGGGUUCAUAUCACGUCUGCGUGCUCCUUGAUAGAUGAUUUCAAUCUGGAAAAAAAUCCGCUUUUUUGCCAUCUGCGUGCAAAAUCUCCAGCAGAAGUUCCAUGAUCCGGAGCGAUUUGGUCUGAUGCCACGAGAAUGGUCUGCUCUGCACACCUUAGGAAGUGCAAAAAGGAAAAAGAAAAGAAGGUAGAGCCUGCCGUGCUGCGGCCUCUGGCUGCUGCCCGAUCACUCAGUCACAUUAAAGCCGGCUCCCUCCUGUGCUGACACGAGGACAUGACAGAUGUCCUUAACCUUUACAGAAUUCCCAGUGAAGUGGCUGGUAAAAUGGGACCAGCCAGUUCAGCCCCACUUGUGAUGGUUACUAGGUUUAACGCACUGAAACUACUUCCACUGGCAUGUGGCGCUGGUCAUAUGCUUAAACAUAUGCAUUUACUUAACAUCUACAGACUUAGGGCCUUAUGUGUUAAACAAUCUCCUAGUCUGAAAUGCAAUUGCGGUGGGGUUUUUGAUAUGAAAACUUGAACUUUGGUGUGAUAAUUUAAUUUCUCGUGUUGUAAAACAAUCUCAGAGCAUAGCUUUUCCCCCGCCUCUCUGUUUUGACAAAGCAAAGUAAGUUUGUGCUAUCAUUAGCUUUCCUUGCCUCAUUUUUGUCUUCUUCCUGCGUCUCAUUAAUACAUAAGCAGUAUUAAAUAAUAAUGAUGCCAGUAGUGGCCUCUGCUGUGCCUCGGUGUUUGCUCCUUUUUGCUUCGAGGAGCAGAUGUUCCCCGUCUUUGUUUUCUGUUGCCAAAUGGGGACUUUGCCCCUUUAACCUUUGAUAAGGUGCUUUAAUAGUCUCUGACGUGAGAUUUUAUCAAAAGCCAAAUAAAUAGUACCUGCCUAGCAGCUUUUAUUAAA